AAUUUCAAAUAGAAUGCUUGGUUUUUAGCUUUAGGCGUUUAAAUAACGAAAUGUUUGUUCUAAUUUAAGAGAGAUCAAAAUUCCUUUAGAGAAAACUUUUAUCUUAAAAUAAUAUGGUUUUUUUAUUAUUUUAUUUUUUAUAAAACAGGCGCCAAUAGAAGGAGCACUUUUGUUAGGCUGUGGUUUAGUUUUAAAUUUUAGCGAACCGAUACAUCCUAUUAGCUACAAAAAAAAUCAAAAGAGAAGCUGAAAGUAGCGGUGAGCGAAAUCAAGAAAAAAAAAAUUAGUGGGUUUAACCUUUGUGAGAUUGUUCAAUUAUAAUAUUUUAUUAUCUUUUAUAGAAAAAUUUCGUUUUCUAACUUUUAAGCUUUAAAAUCAAUAGUGUAAAAGUAUUGAGAAGGAAAGCACUUUGAAUUAAAACAUGGAAAAAAGUUAUAAUAAAUUUGAAAUUUUAGGUAUUCUUUUGUUUUAAACUAACUACUUUUUGCAUAACGGUUUCAUUAUUUAAAAUAAAGGGUGAGCUUUGAAAAAAUUUAAAAGCUAAUACUUUAAAACUUUAGGGUAGUUUUAAUCGUUUUUUUUAAACGCGAAGCCAAGCGAUCUAUUUAAAUACUAGCUGAAAUUGAUCUAAACGUCAUAUGGAAGGCUUAACUCGUAUCUGUUGCAAUAGAUUGGGAUGAUGUUUGAAUAGGAGUGAAAGGCUAAACAAGCUUGGUCAUAGCUUGAACUCUGCGAAAGCUAUUAUAGUAGCGCUGCUAUUUAAAAAAUGAGGUAAAGCGCUGGUUUCGUUUUGGGUGAUUUAACAGUCUUUCAAGCGUUACCAAACUUUGAAUGCAUUUAUAGGUGGGGCGUGUUUUAAAAGUGUAAAAAACUUAUUAGUGAGUUAGACUCUGAGCUAUAAAGUUCAAAGUCGAAAGAGAAACAACUCAGAUCGUUUGAUAAGAUAUUUAAAUAUGAUUCUAAUAACUCGAAAGUUUUUGGCUUUAAUAUAAAGCUUUUUAGCGUUUAUUUUGUUAUGGUUGGCUUAGAAACAGCUAUCGUUUAAUGAAAACGUAAUAGUUCAAAUAGUUAGCUCAAAAAUCCUUAAAAUUUAAGAUUUUAAGUUCGUCGAAGCAACGAGUAAAUCAGUUAGAUUGCGGUAGCAGAGCAUAUUGUAAUAUAAAAGCUGUGAAGUCAAAAUCAAUAAGGAUUCUGUGAAAAUUAGUAACAUCUAAAAUCUAUAAUGGUUCGUUUUUAAUCUAAGCUUUUUUAUUUCUGUUUUGAGUUUAUUCGAUCCUUAAGUAUAAAACGAAAGUUUUUUGUGAUAGGUUUAAAUACCAUGAAAUAUUUGCAUUCUUUUUUUUAAGAAAUUCGUCAUUUUUUUAUAAAAAAUUUGAUAGGGUAAAUUUUUAUACGCAAAUAUAGUUAUUUUACUAUAAGAAUAAAGCGAGAGUGUAACUUUUAUAUUCGUAUUUUAGCUCCUAUCUAUUCUUCAGGAAAAAGUAAGGUUUAAUUUAUUAUCGUAGCUUAUAAUCGCAUCAGGUAGAUCAAUAAAAAAUAUUAAAACGUAAAGAAUAAUAAAAGAUAAUGAACUCGGCAAUAAAUCUUCGUAACUUUGGAAAAAGAAGAUUAGGUUUAAUAGAUACUUUUAGGCCUUAAUAAUAAAACAAUGAGCGACUUUUUACUAAAAAAUUAAAAUAACGCAAAUUUUAUUAAAAAUGUAUGUUAUUUGAUCGGUUCUCAAUGCUUUAAUCUGAAAAAACGAUGUUUUACGCAUCUUAAUUUAAGGAAAAGCAAAUAGGUGUCUUAUUUUGAGGAUAAUAAUGUAGCGAAAUUCCUUGGCUUUUAAUUGAAGUCCUGCAUGAAGCCGUUAACGACUCAUUGACUGUCUCAUCUUUUAUUCUUGUGAAUUUGAAAUAAAGGUGAAGAUUCCUUUUUUCUCAAGCAAGACGAAAAGACCCUAUCAAUCUUUACUUAAUGCUGGUGUUGCUUUUUUAAAUUUAUUCGCUUAGUAGUAGAUAGUUGUUUUUGUUUUUAACUUUCUGAAAAACUAUCCUAUAUUUUGAUUGAGCUAUUUUAUUUCUUUAAAAAUAGCGCUUGCAUGUAAGUUUAUCUGGGAUAGAUUCCUUUUAAAGAGUAAUAAAGGAAUACAAAGAUAACCUUAAUUAAGAUCUCUUAAUUUUGAGCGAAAAAGUAAAUGUUUGUUUGACUGUGAGGCAUAAAUUGUUUGAGCAGCUACUUUAGUAGGUUUUAUUGAUCCGUUAGUUUUGAACGAAAAAGCUAUCGCAUAUUAGAUAAAAGAUACUGUAGGGAUAACAAGAUAAUAAGAACCAAGCGAUCAUAGCGACGUUUUUGAUUGUUAUAUCGAUGUCGGUUUAAAGCAUCCUGAUGAUGAAGGCGUUAUCAAGGGUUUAGCUGUUCGCUAACUAAGGCUUUCCAUGAACUGGGUUUAAAACGAUGUGAAUCAGUUUAGUUUCUAUCUGCUUGGUUUAUUAAGGUUUAUGGCUGUUUCCGCUAGUAUGAGAAGACCGACGGAAAGAAAGCCUAUAGUAAAAAACUUUUUUGGUUGUUUUGCCACGCUUUUAACUGUUUAAAAAUUGAAAGCAUUAACUUUUGAAACGUUGCCGCAACAACCUUAAAAUAGGUUUAAAACUAAAACUUUGAUCGGUCAAUAAUUAAAACUUUUAGAUUUAAAAAAAGAUAAUUGAUAACGAAUGUUUCUAUUAAAACUUUUUAACAUAACAAAAAUGAUAAUGAUAAUCG
rnacentral:rRNA from 1 species